AGUGAACGCUGGCGGUAGGCCUAACACAUGCAAGUCGAACGGCAGCACAGUAAGAGCUUGCUCUUACGGGUGGCGAGUGGCGGACGGGUGAGGAAUACAUCGGAAUCUACUUUUUCGUGGGGGAUAACGUAGGGAAACUUACGCUAAUACCGCAUACUACCUACGGGUGAAAGCAGGGGAUCUUCGGACCUUGCGCGAUUGAAUGAGCCGAUGUCGGAUUAGCUAGUUGGCGGGGUAAAGGCCCACCAAGGCGACGAUCCGUAGCUGGUCUGAGAGGAUGAUCAGCCACACUGGAACUGAGACACGGUCCAGACUCCUACGGGAGGCAGCAGUAGGGAAUAUUGGACAAUGGGCGCAAGCCUGAUCCAGCCAUACCGCGUGGGUGAAGAAGGCCUUCGGGUUGUAAAGCCCUUUUGUUGGGAAAGAAAAGCAGCAGGUUAAUACCCCGCUGUUCCGACGGUACCCAAAGAAUAAGCACCGGCUAACUUCGUG
rnacentral:rRNA from 1 species